AUGGUGGCCGCUGCCAGCGUCGUCCAUCCCCAUGCCUCCGCUCAGUCCGACCACCAAUCACCACCACGCCCCACUCCUGCUCACCUUAUCUCUCCUCUUUCUCGAGCUAUCAUUAGUUUUUACACAUGGUUUUACUCACGCAUGGGUCAAUCACAACAGGUGGCCGCUGCCAGCGUCGUCCAUCCCCAUGCCUCCGCUCAGUCCGACCACCAAUCACCACCACGCCCCACUCCUGCUCACCUUAUCUCUCCUCUUUCUCGAGCUAUCAUUAGUUUUUACACAUGGUUUUACUCACGCAUGGGUCAAUCACAACAGGUGUUUUAUAAAAAAAAGUGCAUCUUGAUGUUCCAUGCAAUGCACGGGCAUCUUGCUAGUCUCAUGAAAUUUUACACAUGUGUAGUAUGCAUCCACAUGUCAAUGUGGAAUUGUUUCCAGAAUUUUUUGAAACUUUGA
rnacentral:rRNA from 1 species